UACGUAGGUGGCAAGCGUUAUCCGGAAUUAUUGGGCGUAAAGAGCGCGCAGGUGGUUGAUUAAGUCUGAUGUGAAAGCCCACGGCUUAACCGUGGAGGGUCAUUGGAAACUGGUCGACUUGAGUGCAGAAGAGGGAAGUGGAAUUCCAUGUGUAGCGGUGGAAUGCGUAGAGAUAUGGAGGAACACCAGUGGCGAAGGCGGCUUCCUGGUCUGUAACUGACACUGAGGCGCGAAAACGUGGGGAGCAAACAGGAUUAGAUACCCCGGUAGUCCCU
rnacentral:rRNA from 1 species